rnacentral:rRNA from 1 species
AGGUUGACCUCGGAUCAGGUAGGGAUACCCGCUGAACUUAAGCAUAUCAAUAAGCGGAGGAAAAGAAACCAACAGGGAUUGCCUCAGUAACGGCGAGUGAAGCGGCAAGAGCUCAAAUUUGAAAUCCGGCCCCUCUGGGGGCCUGAGUUGUAAUUUGCAGAGGAUGCUUCGGGCGCGACCGCGGUCCAAGUCCCCUGGAACGGGGCGUCGUAGAGGGUGAGAAUCCCGUCUCCGGCCGGCCGGUCUCGCCCGUGUGAAGCUCCUUCGACGAGUCGAGUUGUUUGGGAAUGCAGCUCCAAAUGGGUGGUAAAUUUCAUCUAAAGCUAAAUACUGGUCGGAGACCGAUAGCGCACAAGUAGAGUGAUCGAAAGAUGAAAAGCACUUUGAAAAGAGAGUUAAACAGCAUGUGAAAUUGUUGAAAGGGAAGCGCUUGCGACCAGAGUCGGCCGCGGGGGUUCAGCGGGCAUUCGUUGCCCGUGCAAUCCCCCGUGGCCGGGCCAGCGUCGGUUUCGACGGCCGGUCAAAGGCCCCCGGAAUGUGUCGCCUCUCGGGGCGUCUUAUAGCCGGGGGUGCAAUGCGGCCAGUCGGGACCGAGGAACGCGCUCCGGCACGGACGCUGGCUUAAUGGUCGUCAGCGACCCG